GAAAUGCGAUACUUGGUGUGAAUUGCAGAAUUCAGUGAAUCAUCGAAUCUUUGAACGCACAUUGCGCCCGCCAGUAUUCUGGCGGGCAUGCCUGUCCGAGCGUCAUUUCAACCAUCAAGCCCCGGGCUUGUGUUGGGGACCUGCGUCCGACGCAGGCCCCGAAAACCAGUGGCGGGCUCGCUGUCCACACCGAGCGUAGUAGCUAACCUCGCUCCGGAGUGGCGCGGGCGCCUGCCGUAAAACCCCCCAAUUUUACAAGGUUGACCUCGGAUCAGGUAGGAAUACCCGCUGAACUUAA
rnacentral:misc_RNA from 1 species